UACGUAGGGUGCGAGCGUUAAUCGGAAUUACUGGGCGUAAAGCGUGCGCAGGCGGUUCUGAAAGUCAGCUGUGAAAGCCCCGGGCUUAACCUGGGAAUUGCGGUUGAAACUACAGGGCUAGAAUCUGGCAGAGGGGGGUGGAAUUCCACGUGUAGCAGUGAAAUGCGUAGAGAUGUGGAGGAACACCGAUGGCGAAGGCAGCCCCCUGGGCUGAGAUUGACGCUCAGGCACGAAAGCGUGGGGAGCAAACAGGAUUAGA
rnacentral:rRNA from 1 species